rnacentral:rRNA from 1 species
AGAACGAACGCUGGCGGCAGGCCUAAUACAUGCAAGUCGAACGCACUCUUCGGAGUGAGUGGCAGACGGGUGAGUAACGCGUGGGAACCUUCCCAAUGGUACGGAAUAACUCCGGGAAACCGGUGCUAAUACCGUAUAAGCCCCUCGGGGGAAAGAUUUAUCGCCAUUGGAUGGGCCCGCGUCGGAUUAGCUAGUUGGUGAGGUAAUGGCUCACCAAGGCUACGAUCCGUAGCUGGUCUGAGAGGAUGAUCAGCCACACUGGGACUGAGACACGGCCCAGACUCCUACGGGAGCAGCAGUAGGGAAUCUUGGACAAUGGGCGAAAGCCUGAUCCAGCCAUGCCGCGUGAGUGAAGAGGCCUUAGGGUGUAAAGCUGUUGGCGGGACGAUAAUGGACGGUACCGCAGAAUAACGCCCGGAUACUCGCGCCAGCAGCGC